rnacentral:rRNA from 1 species
UACGUAGGGGGCAAGCGUUGUCCGGAUUUAUUGGGCGUAAAGAGCUCGUAGGUGGUUCGGUAAGUCGGAUGUGAAAUCUCCAGGCUCAACCUGGAGGGUCAUUCGAUACUGCCGUGACUAGAGGUCGGUAGGGGAGUGUGGAAUUCCUGGUGGAGCGGUGAAAUGCGCAGGAUAUCAGGAGGAACACCGAUGGCGAAGGCAGGUCUCUGGGCCGAUACUGACGCUGAGGAGCGAAAGCGUGGGGAGCGAACAGG